rnacentral:rRNA from 1 species
GAUGAACGCUAGCUACAGGCUUAACACAUGCAAGUCGAGGGGAAACGCCAUCGAAAGCUUGCUUUUGAUGGGCGUCGACCGGCGCACGGGUGAGUAACGCGUAUCCAACCUGCCCACCACUUGGGGAUAACCUUGCGAAAUUAAGACUAAUACCCAAUGACGUCUCUAGAAGACAUCUGAAAGAGAUUAAAGAUUUAUCGGUGAUGGAUGGGGAUGCGUCUGAUUAGCUUGUUGGCGGGGUAACGGCCCACCAAGGCGACGAUCAGUAGGGGUUCUGAGAGGAAGGUACCCCACAUUGGAACUGAGACACGGUCCAAACUCCUACGGGAGGCAGCAGUGAGGAAUAGUGGGCAAGGGACGAGAGUCUGAACCAGCCAAGUAGCGUGCAGGAUGACGGCACUAUGGGUUGUAAACUGCUUUUAUAAGGGAAUAAAGUGAGUCUCGGGAGACUUUUUGCAUGUACCCUAUGAAUAAGGACCGGCUAAUUCCGUG